rnacentral:rRNA from 1 species
GGGCCCGCACAAGCAGUGGAGUAUGUGGUUUAAUUCGAAGCAACGCGAAGAACCUUACCAGGUCUUGACAUCCAACUAACGAAGCAGAGAUGCAUCAGGUGCCCUUCGGGGAAAGUUGAGACAGGUGGUGCAUGGUUGUCGUCAGCUCGUGUCGUGAGAUGUUGGGUUAAGUCCCGCAACGAGCGCAACCCUUGUCAUUAGUUGCUACGCAAGAGCACUCUAAUGAGACUGCCGUUGACAAAACGGAGGAAGGUGGGGACGACGUCAAAUCAUCAUGCCCCUUAUGACCUGGGCUACACACGUACUACAAUGGCCGUUAACAGAGGGAAGCAAUCCCGCGAGGAGGAGCAAACCCCUAAAAACGGUCUCAGUUCAGAUUGCAGGCUGCAACCCGCCUGCAUGAAGUAGGAAUUGCUAGUAAUCGCGGAUCAGCAUGCCGCGGUGAAUACGUUCCCGGGCCUU